rnacentral:piRNA from 1 species
UCUUCUAAACUCCAUUCGUGGAUAUGGUC